ACAUGACACCACAGCAAAGUUCACAAGAAGAGCCGAUAAGAGGGCACUGAUGUGUUUCGCCCUGGCUGGCCGACCUGCCGCCCCCCCCCCCUUCUGUCUCCUUCAGCGGCGAUUUCGGCAUUGCGCGUUUAAAAGAUAGACCACCAUGCCUUACCUGGCGGAUUCAAGGGCCUCCGACGCCGUUUCGAGCGCCUCGAGCUCUGUGAGGCAGGAGGCGAACUCCGUCACGCACCUGAGCCCCGCCGCCAAGGGGGUGCAGCUGGCGGCUGGAGGCUGGAGCCAGCGAUGGCAGCGAGGUGCCUGACGAGAUUUCUCGACACCGUCACCGUGAUCGAGCAAAUAGAGAGGACGUCUGAUGCGCUGCUGCCGCUGCACCGCCACAGGCGCCUGCAGCAUAGCGAGAUUCAGUCUGCGGAAGAGUCCAAUGGCGGCUAUGUGAACCUUGUCUCCUGUCUGCUGAACGAGCAGGGCAUGUGCCCUUCGGUGGCGAUGCAGUCCCUGCCCAUGCGGGCUCUUUGGAGGCAAAUGCUGGUCGUUGACACUGAACCGCGACCCUCUCGAGGCCGAGGCGCUGGGCUCGCACUAACGCUACGGCACAGAGGUGUGGGAGCACGUUCUCUUCCCUAAUUCCACGAUGGCCGUUGAAAGUCGUCGAGGGCCUAUCGAACUGCGGGAUUGAGGGGUACGAGCUCAUGCGCGGCCAGAACCUUGGGUAUGGCACCCCGAGGCUCGGCCGCUGCUUUGGCCGUGUCUUUUUCAGCACUGCCGACCUCGCGCAACACCGCGAGGGCAAGAACGUGGUUAAGGUGUUCACCUACGUGGCAUGUGCAGCAUGACUGAAGACCUUUUCUUUGCUGACUCUUCCAUCGAGCACCCGUGCACAACUAUGAAGCUGCUCAGGAGGGGUUGUUGCGGCCACAGCGGCAUGGGGGGGGGGCGCGCUGCUGGCGCUGCGGUCAGCGCAGCGGAAGCAGCGCUUUAUGAACUGCCCCGAAGCGCACCUGCCCGGCGACCUGCACAGCGUCAGCUUCUUCGCUGACGCGCAUCAGGUAAAGGUGAUGGAUGCAUAGCUUGGCUUCUACGGUCCGAUGGAUUUCGACCUUGACACGUUGCCGGCAACCUCCUUAUCGACUGCAUAGCCCUAACAGCCUUGCUGGCGCAGCGGCAUUUCAAAGAAGCUGCUGUGGUGGGAGGAGAUGCGUUGCAAGUGGCAGUGUACUUUCUCAUCGACUACGUGAUCAGCUCUGCGCUGCUUUGCUAAAAGUGAAGGGAUGAGCGCAAGCGGACGCGAGGCACUAUCAUCGACGAGCUUCACACCGCCGGGGGUGAAACUCACAGCACUUGUCACGCCUUUACGUGAUUCGAAGCGAACCUAGCCAGUGGAAGAGAGUGCGCACACCUGCUCAAUGAUGAGACUGGCUAUCGCACGCGUGUAUAUUUCGCAACGAUUGCCUCAGGCGCUCGUUGCAGGUCUUCUCUUUGCGUAGAAUGCGUCUGCUGCAGCGUUCGGGUGUCUUUUCGGGCGCGGUGCCUUCGCAUCUUUAAGCACUUUACGAAGUUGCAGCUGCCUGUGGAUGCGUGCGCUUGUGCAUGAUUGCGCGUUCGGGGGUGGGGUAAGGGCGGCGACUCCACGCCUUGUAGGCCCUCAUCUCCCGCCGAUAGGACGAGGUGAUGAUGGCGAUGAAAGCUGCAAGACGCGAAGAGGUGCAAAAAGAAAUGCACCUGCCUCCGUCUUGAAAAGCAGUCCCGAUGAUGCAGGUUGUGGCUCCGCUUUAUUUUGAGUUCUGACCUCGUAGUGCGUGGCAGAUGCCUCCCACGCAGAUUGCAUUCUCUAUCGAGGCCUUGCGUGUGCGCUCCUGCAGGUUGCCUGGUGUCGGAGGGUGCGCUUCUCCAUUUCUACGCCGUGAAAAGCCGAAAAUGUACAUCAACUUCUUUGCCAACUGUCAUAUUUCG
rnacentral:misc_RNA from 1 species